AAAAAAAUUGGAACGACACAGAGAAGAUUAGCAUGGCCCUGCGCAAGGAUGACAUGCACAUUCGUGAAGCGUUCCAUGUUAAA
rnacentral:snRNA from 1 species